rnacentral:rRNA from 1 species
UACGGGGGGGGCAAGCGUUGUUCGGAAUUACUGGGCGUAAAGGGCUCGUAGGUGGCCAACUAAGUCAGACGUGAAAUCCCUCGGCUUAACCGGGGAACUGCAUCUGAUACUGGAUGGCUUGAGUUUGGGAGAGGGAUGCGGAAUUCCAGGUGUAGCGGUGAAAUGCGUAGAUAUCUGGAGGAACACCGGUGGCGAAGGCGGCAUCCUGGACCGACAUUGACGCUGAUGAGCGAAAGCUAGGGGAGCAAACGGG